rnacentral:misc_RNA from 1 species
AAGUCGUAACAAGGUCUCCGUAGGUGAACCUGCGGAGGGAUCAUUAAACAAUAAGAUUGUGUGAAAACACAAUUUUUAUCACCAACAACGUGGAAAUUAUAACUUAAACUUGAGCAAUUGCAGUUUGAUUUGCAAUUUGCUGGAGUGCAUACUUCGCAAGAAGAGAGCCUCCGUUUUACCAUUUUUUUACCCCAAAAACCUGUUUUUGCAGGUUCUUUUGUAUUGAGUUGCUUAAAAUAUUGUGCAUUCAUUUGUACAUAUUUUAUUUUACGAAACAUCGUACAACUCUUGGCAAUGGAUAUCUUGGCUUCC